CCCCCGGGGGGGGGGUUCCAGGCUUGUGGGUGAGGUGGGAGGGCCUGAGGUGCAGCCGUGUGGGUGGAGAGAUGCAGAGGGGGGGGGAGAGAGUGCAUGGAGUGCGUGGGGUUGCAUGGGGUUGUGUGGGGUUGCAUGCAGUGCGUGGGGUUGCAUGGGGUGCGUGGGGUUGCAUGGAGCUCUGUGGGGUUGCACUGAGUGCAUGGGGUUGCAUGGGGUUGCAUGGAGUGCAUGGGGUUGCACUGAGUGCAUGGGGUUGCAUGGAGUGCGUGGGGUUGCAUGGAGCUCUGUGGGGUUGCACUGAGUGCAUGGGGUUGCAUGGAGUGCGUGGGGUUGCAUGGGCUCUGUGGGGUUGCAUGGAGUGCGUGGGGUUGCAUGGAGCUCUGUAGGGUUGCACUGAGUGCAUGGGGUUGCAUGGAGUGCGUGGGGUUGCAUGGAUUGUGUGGGGUUGCAUGGAGCUCUGUGGGGUUGCAUGGAGUUGUGUGGGGUUGCAUGGAGUGCAUGAGAUAUGUGAGGUUGCACAGAGGUGCAUGGGGUUGCAUGGAGUGCAUGGGGUUGUGUGGGAUUGCAUGAAGUUGCAUGGAGUUGUAUGGGGUUGCAUGGAGUUGUACGGGGUCUCAUGAGGUGCAUGGGGUUGCAUGGGGUUGUGUGAGGUUGCAUGGAGUACAUGAAGUGCAUGGGGUUGCAAGGGUUUGCACGGGGUUGCAAGGAUUUGCAUGGGGUUGCAAGGGUUUGCAUGGGGUUGCAAGGAUUUGCAUGGGGGUGCAAGGCUUUGCAUGGGGUUGCAUGGAGUGCAUGAGGUGCACGGGGUUGCAUGGAGUUGUGAGGGGUUGCACAAAGUUGCAUGAGGUUGCACGGGACUUCACGGGGUUGUGUGGGGUUCAGGAGGGUGCAUGGGGUUGCAUGGGGGAUCCAUGGGGUUCAUUCCAUAGGGGUGCAUGGGGUUCUGUGGGAUUACUUAGGGUCAUGGGGUCGUGGGAUCAUGGAAUCAUGGAGGUAGACUGAUAGGAUCAUGGAUUUGUAGGGGCGCGGGGUCAUAGAAAUGUAGGGUCGUGGAAACAUGGGGUCAUGGGGUCAUAGAAUCAUGGAGGUAGACUCAUAGGAUCAUGGAUUUGUAGGGGCACGGGAUCAUGGAAACUUGGGAUCAUGGAAACAUGGGAUCAUGGGAUCAUAGAAUCAUGGAGGUAGACUCAUAGGAUCAUGGAUUUGUAGGAGCGCAGGAUAUGGAAACGUGGGGUCAUGGAAACGUGGGGUCAUAGGGUCAUAAAAUCAUGGAGGUAGACUCAGAGGAUCAUGGAUUUGUAGGAGCAUGGGGUCAUGGAAACGUGGGGUCAUGGGAUCAUGGGGUCAUGAGAUCAUAGAAUCAUGGAGGUAGACUCAUAGGAUCAUGGAUUUAUAGGGGCGCGGGGUCAUGGAAACUUGGGGUCAUGGAAACAUGGGGUCAUGGGGUCAUGGGGUCAUAGAAUCAUGGAGGUAGACUCAUAGGAUCAUGGAUUUGUAGGGGCACGGGAUCAUGGAAACGUGGGGUCAUGGGAUCAUGGGGUCAUGGGAUCAUAGAAUCAUGGAGGUAGACUCAUAGGAUCAUGGAUUUGUAGGGGCGCGGGAUCAUGGAAACGUGGGGUCAUGGAAACAUGGGGUCAUGGGGUCAUAGAACUGUGGCAUGGUGGAAUCAUAGGGUCAUGGAUUUGUAGGAUCGUGGAAUCAGAACCAUGGCUCAUGGGCUGGAAGGGACCGUAAAGACAAUAAAGAACCAUAGGGUGGUUGAGUUGGAAGGGUCCUUGAAGAUCAUAGAACCAUAGAAACUCACAAUGGUUGGGUUGGAAGGGUCCUUACAGAUCAUAGAAGUAUAGAAUCCCACAAUGGUUGGGUUGGAAGGGAUCUUAUAGACAAUAUAACAAUAGGAUGGUUGGGUUGGGAGGGUCCUUGAAGGUCACAGAACUAUGUAAGUUCACAAUGGUUGGGUUGGAAGG
ensembl:lncRNA